rnacentral:rRNA from 1 species
UGGUGUUUACUGUCGAACUGAACACUCUACCGUUUACUGUCUGGUGGUGCUCUUCACCGAGUGUCACCAGUGGUCGGUACGUUUACUUUGAAAAAAUUAGAGUGCUCAAAGCGGUUUUUACACGACCGAAUACUGUUGCAUGGAAUAAUGAAAUAGGACUUUGGUUCUAUUUUGUUGGUCUUCGGAACCAAGGUAAUGAUUAAGAGGGACAGACGGGGGCAUUAGUAUUGCGACGCUAGAGGUGAAAUUCUUGGACCGUCGCAAGACUAACUAAAGCGAAAGCAUUUGCCAAGGAUGUUUUCAUUGAUAAGGAACGAAAGUUAGGGGAUCGAAGACGAUCAGAUACCGUCGUAGUCUUAACUAUAAACUAUGCCGACUAGGGAUCGGACGAUGUUAUUUCUUGACGCGUUCGGCACCUUUCGAGAAAUCAAAGUGCUUGGGCUCCAGGGGGAGUAUGGUCGCAAGGCUGAAACUUAAAGAAAUUGACGGAAGGGCACCACCAGGGGUGGAACCUGCGGCUUAAUUUGACUCAACACGGGGAAACUCACCAGGUCCAGACACAGUGAGGAUUGACAGAUUGAGAGCUCUUUCUUGAUUCUGUGGGUGGUGGUGCAUGGCCGUUCUUAGUUGGUGGAGUGAUUUGUCUGCUUAAUUGCGAUAACGAACGAGACCUUAACCUGCUAAAUAGCCCGUACUGCUCUGGCAGUUCGCCGGCUUCUUAGAGGGACUAUCGG